rnacentral:rRNA from 1 species
CGGGACGGGUGAGUAACGCGUGGGUAACCUGCCUUGUACUGGGGGACAACAGUUAGAAGUGACUGCUAAUACCGCAUAAGCGCACAGUAUCGCAUGAUACAGUGUGAAAAACUCCGGUGGUACAAGAUGGACCCGCGUCUGAUUAGCUAGUUGGUAAGGUAACGGCUUGCCAAGGCGACGAUCAGUAGCCGACCUGAGAGGGUGACCGGCCACAUUGGGACUGAGACACGGCCCAA